rnacentral:rRNA from 1 species
UAGGAAAGAUUAUGCUAAAAUGAGUAAUAAGAAGAUACAUUAGAUCUUCUCCCAGCACAAGUGUAAGUUAGAUCGGACAAACCACUGACAACUAACGAACCCAAAAUAUGAGGGAAAUACAAUAACCUAAAAUAAACAAGAAAACCCUGUAAUAAACUAAAUCGUUAACCCAACACAGGAGUGCAAUAAAGGAAAGACUAAAAGGAGAAGAAGGAACUCGGCAAACACAAACCCCGCCUGUUUACCAAAAACAUCGCCUCUUGCCAAUAAUUGAAGUAUUAGAGGUCCCGCCUGCCCUGUGACCAAAGUGUUUAACGGCCGCGGUAUCCUGACCGUGCGAAGGUAGCGUAAUCAUUUGUCUUUUAAAUGAAGACCAGUAUGAAUGGCAUAACGAGGGUUUAACUGUCUCCUCCUCCCAGUCAAUGAAAUUGAUCUGCCCGUGCAGAAGCGGACAUAUAAACAUAAGACGAGAAGACCCUAUGGAGCUUUAGGCAAGAGUCACACAUGUACAGAAACCCGAAACAAUUAACAAAAUAUAAAGGGUUAACCUAAACUAAAUGUAAAAUGACUUAAAUGCCUUCGGUUGGGGCGACCAUGGAGGAAAAUAAAGCCUCCACAUGGAAUGGGGUAAUCCCCUAAACCAAGAAAGACAUUUCUAAGUAACAGAACAUCUGACCAAAUAUGACCCAGGAUUAUAUCCUGAUCAAUGAACCAAGUUACCCUAGGGAUAACAGCGCAAUCCUUUCCCAGAGUCCAUAUCGACGAAAGGGUUUACGACCUCGAUGUUGGAUCAGGACAUCCUAAUAGUGCAGCCGCUAUUAAGGGUUCGUUUGUUCAACGAUUAACAGUCCUACGUGAUCUGAGUUCAGACCGGAGUAAUCCAGGUCGGUUUCUAUCUAUGAAAUUACUUUUUCCCAGUACGAAAGGACCGGAAUAAAGGGGGCCUAUACUGAAAGCAAGCCCCACCUCUACCUGCUGAAAACAAAUAAAACAG